GCAGCGCUGUUGGGCUUGAUGAUAGGGUGAGGUCAGGGGAGAUACGGCCGUCCUGGUCGGCGGGUCGGGCGCUUGCUAAGGGGAGUGAUUCUAGGUCCGAUAUCAGGAGCUCCCCUGACAGGAUGCUAGCUGACAAUUUGGCGGUCUUCGAUGGCCGUCAAGGCCAGGACGACAGACGCACCGCGCAUGUCCCACUCGGGGGGGCGCAGCAGGGUAGUGGGCAGGUUGGGAGCAAGUCAGAUGCCCUACCCAUGUCUUCUUCUUCUCCUUACAGGUCACUUGAGCAUCCUUCCACAGGCCGGGUGCGGGCCCAG